GGUGGCUCAGUGGUAGAGUACUUGCCUUGCAUGCAUGAGGCCCUGGGUUCGAUUCCUCAGAACCA
rnacentral:tRNA from 1 species